CUCGUAGGCGGCUUGUCGCGUCUGCUGUGAAAUCCCAGGGCUUAACUCUGGGCGUGCAGUGGGUACGGGCAGGCUAGAGUGCGGUAGGGGUGAUUGGAAUUCCUGGUGUAGCGGUGGAAUGCGCAGAUAUCAGGAGGAACACCGAUGGCGAAGGCAGGUCACUGGGCCGUUACUGACGCUGAGGAGCGAAAGCAUGGGGAGCGAACA
rnacentral:rRNA from 1 species